CCACUUCCUCUGCCUCCUCCAUUUCCUCCUCCACUGCCACCGCCACUUCCUCUGCCUCCUCCAUUUCCUCCUCCUCUACCGCCGCCGCAUGCUUCUACCGCCGCCACUUCCUCUGCCUCCUCCACCACCAUUUCCACUACCGCCACCAUUUCCUCUGCCUCUGCCACCACCAUUUCCACUACCGCCACCACUUCCUCCGCCUCCGCCACCACCAUUUCCGCCACUACCACCACCGCCGUCUCCGGCAUGAUUUACGUUUGCCAAAUUUUCCGGUACUGCACUAGCAUUGUUUAGUUCCUCCUUUCCUUGGACGAAGACAUUUGAUGGGUUAACAACGGAUGUUUCUGUCGUAUUAAAUACAACUGCGACGCCGGCAUUUCUGUCCCGGACCUUGCUCUCCGCCCAAAACGGAACAAAUGCUAACACCAGUAGUACAAUCACUAGUGUAGCUCCUGUUCCCCUAACCAUCAUCUCCAUUUUCCGCUAAAGCUUAUUGUUUUCUGCACUGCUCCUUUGACGAAUGAACCCAACAUAUUGCCCCUUUUAUAAGCGCUUUUGGUACGUACCAAACCCACCACAUUGUACCAUAAUCUAAUUCCCAACAGCAUGCACUAGCUACCUAGCUCAUCCCCAUAAGGCUGCAAAACAGAAAAUUACUUGGCAUCAUGGGUAGAAUAAUUACUGGCUUGCCCCGCCAUUGUUGUCCCCACAAGUUCCACCAACAUCAAGCCAAUUCUUUGAGGUUGAUCGUUUAGGAAUUGACCGUUAAAUUAUUAAUGUCUCC
rnacentral:lncRNA from 1 species